GGAACAUCCAAGAGGAUGUUUUGCCAAUGUGACCGAAAACCCAAGAGGUUGGGACAACAAGGGAAGCAAUGGAAGAGCAAGAGGGAAGCUAGGUGCAAGGUAUAAAGGGCAUGGAGGAAAAGUCAAGGAUGGGGAAUGCAAGAUUGAUGGAAGAAGUCAAGAACAUGUUAUGGUCUUAUAACAUGUUAAGUUAUGUAACAUAGUUUAUCAAUUUAUGUUUGAUAUGCCAUGUAUGUGGAAUGAUGAUAUUAAAUGUUUAUGAUAUGUAAAACGGUAUGAGGUUAUGUAUGGAGAUAUUAUGUGGAAUUAUAGCAUGACAAGAGGUGGAGAAAUAAAUUGUUUGUAAAGAUUGAAUUAAGUUGAAGGGAUAGAAUGUCCCUAAAUGAGUCA